GCCAAAAAUAUAUAUUGAGAAAGUAGGUCGCAAAUAUUUACAUCAGAGGCUACAUGGCACGAGCCGACAUAAUACAUGCUUCUUACAUUUAGGGUAGCAAGGGCGAAAUUCUAACCUGCAACAUCGUCCUUGAUGGUCGAGACAGUCACAUGCGACAUGAAAGGCUUACUUUUGAGAACUCGGAGUUUUGCCCCACGUAGUGCUCUCUAGUAACGAGGAUCACAUUCUUUUAGUUGUCUAUACUUGAAUUCCAAAAAAAGAAGGUACAUGAUUGUUUCGACAUUGCCCGAGAGCGCAAAACUCUGAGUCUCUGACUAACGGAACCAUGAAUGCAGACUGUAUAUAAGAGAUUAACAAACGGAGACAUCUAAACCGUAACAAUCUUUACAUCACAUUAUUGCAAAUCGAAGAUAAUAUUUCUGGCUUGGCUGCCACGCGCAAACUACGACAGUUUACUUUCGGUCGUGCCUCUGUGGCUCUGUGCAUCUCUAUGGGGAGGGACAGGGUUUGUUUGGAUCGUGAGUUUUCGGACACCCGGCUGGGCCCGUCUCCUCCAACUGAGACAGCACGUGUCGGCGCCAAUGCGUCGGCAACGGCGGCAUGGCGUCGACGGAACCGCCGGAGGAGGGUUCCCCGGCGUGCACCUGAUCACCUUGCAGUGGCCUCGCAGAGGCCCGGGUCCAUGGGCCGGACGUAGCCACGAGAACGAAGAGCAUGGCCACUGCAAGCUUCCCGGUCAUCGUGGUCGUGUUCGAACUUAUAGAAGGCCGCAGUGUUGCUUGUCGUAAUUGGGAGAUGGAUCUAUCAAACUAGUUAGGCUUUUGAGUGCUGUGGAUGCGAG
rnacentral:rRNA from 1 species